UACGUAGGGGGCGAGCGUUACCCGGAUUUACUGGGCGUAAAGCGCGUGUAGGCGGCUGGCCAAGCGGGGUGUGAAAUCUUCGGGCUUAACCCGAAAACUGCAUUGCGAACUGGUCUGGCUAGAGUGUGUGAGAGGGUAGUGGAAUUCCCGGUGUAGCGGUGAAAUGCGCAGAUAUCAGGAGGAACACCAAUGGCGAAGGCAGCUCACUGGGACGGUAUUGACGCUGAGACGCGAAAGCGUGGGGAGCAAACAGG
rnacentral:rRNA from 1 species